rnacentral:rRNA from 1 species
AUAGGGGAGCCGCAGGGAAACCGAGUCUUAACUGGGCGUUAAGUUGCAGGGUAUAGACCCGAAACCCGGUGAUCUAGCCAUGGGCAGGUUGAAGGUUGGGUAACACUAACUGGAGGACCGAACCGACUAAUGUUGAAAAAUUAGCGGAUGACUUGUGGCUGGGGGUGAAAGGCCAAUCAAACCGGGAGAUAGCUGGUUCUCCCCGAAAGCUAUUUAGGUAGCGCCUCGUGAACUCAUCUUCGGGGGUAGAGCACUGUUUCGGCUAGGGGGUCAUCCCGACUUACCAACCCGAUGCAAACUACGAAUACCGAAGAAUGUUAUCACGGGAGACACACGGCGGGUGCUAACGUCCGUCGUGAAGAGGGAAACAACCCAGACCGCCAGCUAAGGUCCCAAAGUCAUGGUUAAGUGGGAAACGAUGUGGGAAGGCCCAGACAGCCAGGAUGUUGGCUUAGAAGCAGCCAUCAUUUAAAGAAAGCGUAAUAGCUCACUGGUCGAGUCGGCCUGCGCGGAAGAUGUAACGGGGCUAAACCAUGCACCGAAGCUGCGGCAGCGACACUAUGUGUUGUUGGGUAGGGGAGCGUUCUGUAAGCCGUUGAAGGUGGCCUGUGAGGGUUGCUGGAGGUAUCAGAAGUGCGAAUGCUGACAUAAGUAACGAUAAUGCGGGUGAAAAACCCGCACGCCGGAAGACCAAGGGUUCCUGUCCAACGUUAAUCGGGGCAGGGUGAGUCGACCCCUAAGGCGAGGCCGAAAGGCGUAGUCGAUGGGAAACAGGUUAAUAUUCCUGUACUUGGUGUUACUGCGAAGGGGGGACGGAGAAGGCUAUGUUGGCCGGGCGACGGUUGUCCCGGUUUAAGCAUGUAGGCGGAUGUUCCAGGUAAAUCCGGAACGUCACUAACGCUGAGGUGUGAUGACGAGGCACUACGGUGCUGAAGUGACAAAUGCCCUGCUUCCAGGAAAAGCCUCUAAGCAUCAGGUAACAUCAAAUCGUACCCCAAACCGACACAGGUGGUCAGGUAGAGAAUACCAAGGCGCUUGAGAGAACUCGGGUGAAGGAACUAGGCAAAAUGGUGCCGUAACUUCGGGAGAAGGCACGCUGAUGGUAAGUGAAGUGACUUGCUCAUGGAGCUGAAAUCAGUCGAAGAUACCAGCUGGCUGCAACUGUUUAUUAAAAACACAGCACUGUGCAAACACGAAAGUGGACGUAUACGGUGUGACGCCUGCCCGGUGCCGGAAGGUUAAUUGAUGGGGUUAUCCUCACGGAGAAGCUCUUGAUCGAAGCCCCGGUAAACGGCGGCCGUAACUAUAACGGUCCUAAGGUAGCGAAAUUCCUUGUCGGGUAAGUUCCGACCUGCACGAAUGGCGUAAUGAUGGCCAGGCUGUCUCCACCCGAGACUCAGUGAAAUUGAACUCGCUGUGAAGAUGCAGUGUACCCGCGGCAAGACGGAAAGACCCCGUGAACCUUUACUAUAGCUUGACACUGAACACUGGUCCUUGAUGUGUAGGAUAGGUGGGAGGCUUUGAAGUGUGGACGCCAGUCUGCAUGGAGCCGUCCUUGAAAUACCACCCUUUAAUGGCUGGUGUUCUAACGUGGGCCCGUGAUCCGGGUUGCGGACAGUGUCUGGUGGGUAGUUUGACUGGGGCGGUCUCCUCCUAAAGAGUAACGGAGGAGCACGAAGGUCAGCUAAUCCUGGUCGGACAUCAGGAGGUUAGUGCAAUGGCAUAAGCUGGCUUGACUGCGAGCGUGACGGCGCGAGCAGGUGCGAAAGCAGGUCAUAGUGAUCCGGUGGUUCUGAAUGGAAGGGCCAUCGCUCAACGGAUAAAAGGUACUCCGGGGAUAACAGGCUGAUACCGCCCAAGAGUUCAUAUCGACGGCGGUGUUUGGCACCUCGAUGUCGGCUCAUCACAUCCUGGGGCUGAAGUAGGUCCCAAGGGUAUGGCUGUUCGCCAUUUAAAGUGGUACGCGAGCUGGGUUUAGAACGUCGUGAGACAGUUCGGUCCCUAUCUGCCGUGGGCGCUGGAGAAUUGAGGGGGGCUGCUCCUAGUACGAGAGGACCGGAGUGGACGCAUCACUGGUGUUCGGGUUGUCAUGCCAAUGGCAUUGCCCGGUAGCUAAAUGCGGAAGAGAUAAGUGCUGAAAGCAUCUAAGCACGAAACUUGCCCCGAGAUGAGUUCUCCCUGACUCCUUGAGAGUCCUGAAGGAACGUUGAAGACGACGACGUUGAUAGGCCGGGUGUGUAAGCGCAGCGAUGCGUUGAGC